rnacentral:tRNA from 1 species
GGAUUGUGGCUUAGUGGUAGAGCACUCACCUAGCAUGGGUGAGACACUGGGUUCGAUCCUUAGCACCA